CUGCCAUGCAAGUCCGUUGGGAAAUCGACCAGCUCAACUGGUCGGCGUCCAGCGGAAACUGCACGGCUUGGGGCCGAGAGACUCAACGGGUACGUCCGGGGUAGGAGUGAAAUCCUGUAAUCCUGGACGGACCACCAAUGGCGAAAGCACGUUGAGAGACCGGACCCGACGGUGAGGGACGAAAGCCAGGGUCUCGAACCGGAUUAGAUACCCGGGUAGUCCUGGCUGUAAACGAUGCUUGCUAGGUAUGCCACACACCAUGAGUGUGUGGUGUGCCGCAGUGAAGACGAUAAGCAAGCCGCCUGGGAA
rnacentral:rRNA from 1 species